CCUGAUCCAGCCAUGCCGCGUGCGGGAAGAAGGCCUUCGGGUUGUAAACCGCUUUUGUCAGGGAAGAAACGCGCUGAGCUAAUACCUCGGCGUAAUGACGGUACCUGAAGAAUAAGCACCGGCUAACUACGUGCCAGCAGCCGCGGUAAUACGUAGGGUGCAAGCGUUAAUCGGAAUUACUGGGCGUAAAGCGUGCGCAGGCGGCUUUGCAAGACAGAUGUGAAAUCCCCGGGCUUAACCUGGGAACUGCAUUUGUGACUGCAUGGCUGGAGUGCGGCAGAGGGGGAUGGAAUUCCGCGUGUAGCAGUGAAAUGCGUAAAUAUGCGGAGGAACACCGAUGGCGAAGGCAAUCCCCUGGGCCUGCACUGACGCUCAUGCACGAAAGCGUGGGGAGCAAACAGGAUUAGAUACCCUGGUAGUCCACGCCCUAAACGAUGUCAACUGGUUGUUGGACGGCUUGCUGUUCAGUAACGAAGCUAACGCGUGAAGUUGACCGCCUGGGGAGUACGGCCGCAAGGUUGAAACUCAAA
rnacentral:rRNA from 1 species